UACGAAGGGGGCUAGCGUUGUUCGGAAUUACUGGGCGUAAAGCGCACGUAGGCGGAUUUGUAAGUCAGGGGUGAAAUCCCGGGGCUCAACCUCGGAACUGCCUUUGAUACUGCAAGUCUUGAGUCCGAUAGAGGUGAGUGGAAUUCCUAGUGUAGAGGUGAAAUUCGUAGAUAUUAGGAAGAACACCAGUGGCGAAGGCGGCUCACUGGAUCGGUACUGACGCUGAGACGCGAAAGCGUGGGGAGCGAACAGG
rnacentral:rRNA from 1 species